GCCAGUCGGUCGACAAGCUGAUCGCCGCCGAGCAGCAGCGGCUCGACAGGCUGAGCCGCAUCGAGAUCCGCUCGGGCGAGCCGGGCGUCGUGGAGGACGUGCUCGCCCCGCCCGGCACGCGCGUCGCCGCCGGCGCGACGCUGAUCCGUGCGAGCAACUGCGCGCGCUCGCGUGUCGUCGCCGUGUUCCCGCGCAGCCUGAGCGACGACCUGCUGCCCGGCACGCAUCUGAACGUGCGGAUGGACGGUGUGCCGGCCGUGCUGCCCGCGUCGAUCGCCGAAGUGCUGCCGCGCGCGUCCGAAGGCGAGCAGGCGCGCUACUUCGUGCCCUUCCCGCCGAUCGAGAAGAACGAGAUCUAUGUGAUCGCGAAGCUCGACGAGCCGCUCGCGCCGCUGUCGCGCCGCGCGAGCGCCCGGCCGGACGCGCGCUGCGCGAUGGGGCGCUGGGCGAGAGUCAGCCUCGAUCGGGGCUGGCUCGCGAGCAACGUGUCCGGUCUCGCGAACGUCGAUCCGAACUGGACCGCCGGCGCGCGUUCGGCGCUCGCGCGCGGCGGGCAAUGGCUGCGCGACGCCGGCGUGCAAGCCCGGCGCCGGCUCGAGGACUUCGCGACGAACGCCGCCCGCCGGCUCGGCGAGCUGGCCGCGGACGGGCGGCGCUGGCUGAACGAGCGGGCGAGCGCGGCCCGACGCUGGCUCGACGAUCUGAAAUCGGCGGCCUGAGCGCGCGCAGCCCCAUGCCGAUGAGAUUUCACCUCGUCCGCCGCCUGGGCCGUGCGGCAUCGUUCGCGAUCGGGCCGAUGGCCUCGCUGCUGUUCGUCGCCCACGGCGCCGCCGGCGCCGAGCCGCCGCGCGCGGCGCUGCUCGCGGCCGGAUGCAAGACGCUCGCCGAGCGCGUGCACGCGCUUCCCGGCUCGGGGCCCGUCUUUCUCGGCAGCUACGAGCCCGCGCCCGGCGGCGCGGCGCUCGCGGGCGCGCUGACGCAGGCCGCGUUCGUCUAUGACAACGCGCUCGCGAGCAUCGCGCUCAUUGCCUGCCACCGCCCCGGCGACGCGCGCCGCAUCGCCGACGCGAUCCUGCAGGCGAGCCGGCAGGAUCGCCACUACCGCGACGCGCGCGUGCGCAACGCGUACCGCGCGGGUGCGCUGCCGCCGGGGCCCGCACCGCUGCCCGGCUGGUGGGACACGCCGAGCAAGCGCUGGUUCGAGGACGCCUAUCAGGCGGGCACCGCGACCGGCAACGUCGCGUGGGCCGCGCUGUCGCUGCUCGCCGUGUACGAAGCGACGCGCGAGCGGCGCUAUCUCGACGGCGCCGCCGCGCUGAUGGGCUGGGUCGACCCCGGCCGGCUCGACGCGACGGCGCCGGCCGGCUACGUCGGCGGCGAGUUCGGCCAUGAGCCGCAGCCGCUCCGCCAGGGCUGGAAAUCCACC
rnacentral:rRNA from 1 species